AUUGAACGCUGGCGGCAUGCUUUACACAUGCAAGUCGAACGGUAACAGGUUAAGCUGACGAGUGGCGAACGGGUGAGUAAUGCAUCGGAACGUGCCCGAUCGUGGGGGAUAACGCAGCGGAAGCUGCGCUAAUACCGCAUACGAUCUGAGGAUGAAAGCGGGGGACCGUAAGGCCUCGCGCGAUCGGAGCGGCCGAUGUCAGAUUAGGUAGUUGGUGGGGUAAAGGCCCACCAAGCCGACGAUCUGUAGCUGGUCUGAGAGGACGACCAGCCACACUGGGACUGAGACACGGCCCAGACUCCUACGGGAGGCAGCAGUGGGGAAUUUUGGACAAUGGGCGAAAGCCUGAUCCAGCAAUGCCGCGUGCAGGAAGAAGGCCUUCGGGUUGUAAACUGCUUUUGUACGGAGCGAAGAGGUCCUUUCUAAUACAGGGGGCUCAUGACGGUACCGUAAGAAUAAGCACCGGCUAACUACGUGCCAGCCGCCGCGGUAA
rnacentral:rRNA from 1 species